GUUCGAUUAUGGCUCAGAUUGAACGCUGGCGGGAUGCUUUACACAUGCAAGUCGAACGGCAGCACGGACUUCGGUCUGGUGGCGAGUGGCGAACGGGUGAGUAAUGUAUCGAACGUGCCUGGCGGGGGAUAACUACGCGAAAGCGUAGCUAAUACCGCAUACGCCCUUCGGGGAAAGCGGGGGACCUUCGGGCCUCGCACUAUUAGAGCGGCCGAUAUCGGAUUAGCUAGUUGGUGGGGUAACGGCUCACCAAGGCGACGAUCCGUAGCUGGUUUGAGAGAGGACGACCAGCCACACUGGGACUGAGACACGGCCCGAACUCCUACGGGGAGGCAGCAGUGGGGGAAUUUUGGACAAUGGGAAACCCUGCGAUCCAGCCAUCCCGCGUGUGCGAUGAAGGCCUUCGGGUUGUAAAGCACUUUUGGCAGGAAAGAAACGGCACGGGAUAAUGCCCCGUGCAACUGACCACCUGCAGGUAAGCACCGGCUAACUACGUGCCAGCAGCCGCGGUAAUACGUAGGGUGCAAGCGUUAAUCGGAAUUACUGGGCGUAAAGCGUGCGCAGGCGGUUCCGGAAAGAAAGAUGUGAAAUCCAGAGCUUAACUUUGGAACUGCAUUUUUAACUACCGAGCUAGAGUGUGUCAGGGAGGUGGAAUUCCGCGUGUAGCAGUGAAAUGCGUAGAUAUGCGGAGGAACACCGAUAGCGAAGGCAGCCUCCUGGGAUAACACUGACGCUCAUGCACGAAAGCAUUGGGAGCAAACGGAUUAGAUACCCUGGUAGUCCACGCCCUAAACGAUGUCAACUAGCUGUUGGGCCUUCGGGCCUUGGUAGCAGCUAACGCGUGAAAUUGGUAGCCACCGCCACCACCAGAGGCCACGGUCCUGCGAGAAUUAAAACUCAAAGAUUGACGGGACGCACAAGCAGUGGAUGAUGUGGAUUAAUUCGAUGCAACGCGAAAAACCUUACCUACCCUUGACAUGUCUGGAAUCCGAAGAUUUGGGAGUGCUCGCAAGAGAACCGGAACACAGGUGCUGCAUGGCUGUCGUCAGCUCGUGUCGUGAGAUGUUAGGUUAAGUCCCGCAACGAGCGCAACCCUUGCUGUCAUUAGUUGCUACGAAAGGGCACUCUAUUGAGACUGCCGGUGAUGUAAACCGGAGGAAGGUGGGGAUGACCCGUCAAGUCCUCAUGGCCCUUAUGGUGGGGCUUCACACGUCAUACAAUGGUCGGGACAGAGGGUCGCCAACCCGCGAGAGAGCCAAUCCCAGAAGCCGAAUCGUAGUCCGGAUCAUGAUCUGCAACUCGACUGCGUGAAGUCGGAAUCGCUAGUAAUGCAUAGGAUCAGCAUGUCGCGGUGAAUACGUUCCCGGGUCUUGUACACACCCACGCCCGUCACACCAUGGGAGUGGGUUUUACCGAAGUAGUUAACAGCUCUAACCGUAAGGAGGGCGAUUACCACGAUAAGUUCAUGACUGGGGUGAAGUCGUAACAGGUAG
rnacentral:rRNA from 1 species